rnacentral:tRNA from 1 species
CGGAGUGUGGCUCAGCUUGGUAGAGCGCUAUGUUCGGGACGUAGAGGUCGCAGGUUCAAAUCCUGUCACUCCGA